UUUUGAAAAUUGAAAAUUUUUUUAAAUAAGUUUCUCAUUUACAUUUCUCUUUUAACGCGUCGAACGCGUAAGAAUGGCAUAGUGGAACGAGUUUUUAUAACUUUCAUACGCAAGAUGGCUUCCUUAUGGAUUCUGUUUACGGAGUUGUUCGAACCGUUUAAAAGUUUACCGUUCACGAGACGACAUUCUUGCUUGCGUUACGUCGAUGCGUCUGCUCGUAUAGCAGCAUGGGAAGCUCGCUGUGAUUGAGGGAUCAUUGGGGAGGUUAUCUGGAUGUUCUCAGAAGAGUUCUCUUCUCUUCCAACUUGUUUUACGGGAUUUAAAAGAUGAGAGGUGACUUUUUUCGUGCUUCCUGGAUUUUCCUGCUCAUCAUGAUUUUGAAUAAUAUGGAAUAUCAUUGGAUUUAUCGUUUCACAUAUGCAAUGAGAUAUGUGAAAUUUAAUAAUUAAUAUUUUAAAAUAUAUAUUAAGAAAGAUGUAAGAUGCUUUUGAAAUCGGAUGUAUAUGUUAGAAUGCAAAGAUACAUUUGAGAGUAAAAUUUUGUUAUUUUUGAGAAUAUUUUUUGUAAAUGGAAAUUUCAAAGAGAAUUUUUAUUCUCAAUGCAACGUUGCGAAAAAUAAUUCUUAAAAGUAAUUUUUCAGUAGAUUUAUUCUCAGAUAUAUUUAUAUUCUUAAAACAAUAAAAAAAAUUUAAAUAUAUCCCGAAAUUUAGUAUUUUAUGUAUCUAUGUAUCUAUGCUUCAUUAUUAGAUAAAUCAAAAGAUUUUGUUCUAUAUUUCACGUACACAAUAACCUUUUCGGUACGAAUGUCGACUUUAGUCGACAAACACCGAAUACACACGACCGAUCGUUUCAGUGCGCAGUAUACUGUGGCAAGCAUCGCGUCGCGUCGCGUCGUAUCGAAGAGGUUAAGAUUAAUUAACUAAUUUGAAAUUGCGAGAAAUAAUUUUUAAUUAUUUAAUAUAAUAAAAUAUUAAUUGUAAAAAAAGUAUACUUUAUUAGAAGAAACAAAUAUUUCAUUAAAAACAUAAAAAUAUAUUACGUUCUCUCAAUUUUUCACGCAUCAAAGUUUUCGUUUGAAAGUAUUGUAUUACUUCUACUUACAUUUUCAGUUCCAUUACGGUUACAAAAACUUCGAAUUCUUUUUCCUUCUUUUCAUCAUUUUUUCGCGAUAUGGACAAGGAUGUUCAUAUUGUCGCCAAUUUCUAAAAUAAAUAUAUAUGUAUCGCGAUCUAGAGGAAUGGUCGAAGAACGUCGAAACGAAAUUACGAUUUCACGUGUGACGAUGAAACUAUUUUAUUUCUUCUCUGCGAGACUACGUAGCCAGUGAAUUUGCUGACAUUCGACGGUCGUAAAGUUUUUACACGAAACAGCGUAAAUUUAGCGGAGAGAAAGAAUAUUUUUGAGAAUAUUAUACAUGAAUUGAAUUAUACAUCGAAUAAAAUUAAAUAUUGUGCGUAUAAUUGAUUUCAAUACGACAACAAAAUAGAGAUAAGAGAGAGGAGAUUAACGCAGGAUACGCAAAUCAAGAAAAGAAUCACGCGCCAAGACUCUUUCCAAUUUACGCGGAUUCGUUCGACGGCUUUAAUGCAAUCAUACUUUCGAACGUGCAAGUUUAACUUCUUGCGAAGUUAAUUUUCUCCGGUUGCACGUCGUUGAUUCCGGGAAGAAUCGAAUAAAUGUACAAGAUGAAUGCGGAAAGAGGGGACUUAGGCGGACAAGUGUGGAAUUUUUAUUCGUUUCUGUAUUUAUUUUAUCGAUUUUCUUCAUUGAUUAAAAGCUACUUGUAUUUUUUUUUUUAAAUAGAACAUAAAAUAGCGAUUUAUUGAAAUUCCUUGCGAAUUGAUAUUUGUUUUGAUUAUUUAAUGAAUUAUUAAAAAAAAUUGAAAUAAAAUAGUUUUUAGAGUAUUGUUA